rnacentral:rRNA from 1 species
UCGAGAAUCUUUCACAAUGGGGGCAACCCUGAUGGAGCGACGCCGCGUGGAGGAUAAGGUCUUCGGAUUGUAAACUCCUGUCAUGCGAGAACAAAGCCUUAUGGGUGUGAUAGUAUCGCAAGAGGAAGAGACGGCUAACUCUGUGCCAGCAGCCGCGGUAAUACAGAGGUCUCAAGCGUUGUUCGGAAUCACUGGGCGUAAAGGGUGUGUAGGCGGCGUGAAAAGUCAGAUGUGAAAUCCGGGGGCUCAACCUCCGAAUUGCAUCCGAUACUGUCAUGCUGGAGGUCUGUAGAGGAGUCUGGAAUUCUCGGUGUAGCAGUGAAAUGCGUAGAGAUCGAGAGGAACACUUGUUGCGAAAGCGAGACUCUGGGCAGAAACUGACGCUGAAACACGAAGGCCAGGGUAGCGAACGG